UGUGCCAGCCGCCGCGGUAAUUCCAGCUCCAAUAGCGUAUAUUAAAGUUGUUGUGGUUAAAAAGCUCGUAGUUGAACCUUGGGCCUGGCUGGCCGGUCCGCCUCACCGCGUGUACUGGUCCGGCCGGGCCUUUCCCUCUGUGGAACCCUAUGCCCUUCACUGGGUGUAGCGGGGAGACAGGAUUUUUACUUUGAAAAAAUUAGAGUGCUCCAGGCAGGCCUUUGCUCGAAUACAUUAGCAUGGAAUAAUAAAAUAGGACGUGUGGUUCUAUUUUGUUGGUUUCUAGGACCGCCGUAAUGAUUAAUAGGGACAGUCGGGGGCAUCAGUAUUCAAUUGUCAGAGGUGAAAUUCUUGGAUUUAUUGAAGACUAACUACUGCGAAAGCAUUUGCCGAGGAUGUUUUCAUUAAUCAGGAACGAAAGUUAGGGGAUCGAAGACGAUCAGAUACCGUCGUAGUCUUAACCAUAAACUAUGCCGACUAGGGAUCGGACGAUGUUAAAAAUUGACUCGUUCGGCACCUUACGAGAAAUCAAAGUGCUUGGGCUCCAGGGGGAGUAUGGUCGCAAGGCUGAAACUUAAAGAAAUUGACGGAAGGGCACCACCAGGGGUGGAGCCUGCGGCUUAAUUUGACUCAACACGGGGAAACUCACCACGUCCAGACACAAUGAGGAUUGACAGAUUGAGAGCUCUUUCUUGAUUUUGUGGGUGGUGGUGCAUGGCCGUUCUUAGUUGGUGGAGUGAUUUGUCUGCUUAAUUGCGAUACGAACGAGACCUAACCUGCUACUAGCCCGUAUUGCUUUGGCAGUACGCUGGCUUCUUAGAAGGGACUAUC
rnacentral:rRNA from 1 species